UGCCAGCCGCCGCGGUAAUACGGAGGGUGCAAGCGUUAUCCGGAUUCACUGGGUUUAAAGGGUGCGUAGGUGGGCAGGUAAGUCAGUGGUGAAAUCUCCGGGCUUAACCCGGAAACUGCCAUUGAUACUAUCUGUCUUGAAUACCCUGGAGGCGAGCGGAAUAUGUCAUGUAGCGGUGAAAUGCUUAGAUAUGACAUAGAACACCCAUUGCGAAGGCAGCUCACUACGGGAAUAUUGACACUGAGGCACGAAAGCGUGGGGAUCAAACAGGAUUAGAUC
rnacentral:rRNA from 1 species